rnacentral:rRNA from 1 species
CAGUCGCCGCGGUAAUACGGAGGGGGCUAGCGUUGUUCGGAAUUACUGGGCGUAAAGCGCACGUAGGCGGCUUGGUAAGUUAGAGGUGAAAGCCUGGAGCUCAACUCCAGAAUUGCCUUUAAGACUGCCGAGCUAGCAGGUGAGAGAGGUAAGUGGAAUUCCGAGUGUAGAGGUGAAAUUCGUAGAUAUUCGGAAGAACGCCAGUGGCGAAGGCGGCUUACUGGCUCAUACUGGACGCUGAGGUGCGAAAGCGUGGGGAGCAAACAGGAUUAGAUACCCCCGUAGUCCCUGUCUCUUAUAC